rnacentral:rRNA from 1 species
CCUACGGGAGGCUGCAGUGAGGAAUAUUGGUCAAUGGACGAGAGUCUGAACCAGCCAAGUAGCGUGAAGGAUGACUGCCCUAUGGGUUGUAAACUUCUUUUAUAAAGGGAUCAAACGAGGCACGUGUGCCUUUUUGCAUGUACUUUAUGAAUAAGGAUCGGCUAACUCCGUGCCAGCAGCCGCGGUAAUACGGAGGAUCCGAGCGUUAUCCGGAUUUAUUGGGUUUAAAGGGAGCGUAGAUGGGUUGUUAAGUCAGUUGUGAAAGUUUGCGGCUCAACCGUAAAAUUGCAAUUGAUACUGGCAGUCUUGAGUACAGUGGAGGUAAGCGGAAUUCGUGGUGUAGCGGUGAAAUGCUUAGAUAUCACGAAGAACCCCGAUUGCGAAGGCAGCUUACUAAACUGUGACUGACAUUGAUGCUCGAAAGUGGGGGGAUCAAACAGGAUUAGAUACCCGAGUAGUC